rnacentral:misc_RNA from 1 species
UCCAAAUCUCCACCACCCCUGCCGCCACCGCUAACGGCGGCGAUCCAAUUCAGCCGGCCGCCAUGGCCGCAGAUCUCGACCUCCCUAUACUCUUGAAGCCCGCCGGCGGCGUCGGCAGGAAACUCACCCUGAUACCCCUCAUCUUCCUCAUCUACUUCGAGGUCUCCGGCGGCCCCUACGGCUCCGAGCCGGCCAUCCAAGCCGCCGGACCCCUCUUCGCCCUCGUCGGCUUCCUCAUAUUCCCCUUCGUCUGGUCCAUCCCGGAAGCCCUCAUCACCGCCGAGCUCGCCACCGCCCUCCCCGGAAACGG